CAUAAGAGAAACUGGGUUUAAAAAUUCACCCAAAUAAAGAUUUAACUUUUGUAUUCUUUCCAAUCUAUCAAAAUCAAACUUUUCAGUUUCAAACAAAAGAAAAAUAAAAAGUCGAAAACCCUUACAUUGAUACGGUGUUGAGUGAGGAAACAAAGAGCUGAAAAGGACACAAAGCGAGAUUUGAAAGGGACGACCGAAGGCGAGAAUGGAAAGAGGAAAAGGAAAACGCACAGCUUUCUGUCAACAUUGUUUUUUUUUUUCUAGGCGUCGCCGUCGCUUCAUCUACUCACCGUUGCUGUUGCCGUUGCCGUCGAAGGGCCCCUGCUAUUCUAGCUUAGAAAUCUCCAAUACGCAGUGUUUCUCUUAAACGUUUGGGUAAUGUUUUCAACCCUAUCUAUUCUAAUUUUUCCCUUAACUCUCUAUUUAAUCUCAAUUUUAUGGUUCCUUCCUUAGACUGUUUUCCACUGUAAUUUUGAGGGGUUUUAGGCAAUGAUUUGAUUGAGGAUCCUUAGUUAGGGUUUGUAGUUUAUCUUUCUGGGUUUCCUGGGGAUUGAGGAUGCUUAAUCCAUGUUCUGGAAAUUACUUUUAACUUCAAUUUCUGGGAAACUUCAAUCAAUCUGCAGUAAUAAUUUUAUAGUUAAAAUUGAUUGUGAGUCUUUGCAGCAUAAUAAUCAAUUCCUCUGUGUAAUCAUUUGAAAUUCGGUCAUGGUACUUGUGAGAUUGUCAUUUUCUGUAUAUUUUACUAUUUCAGUUAAUAAACUGUUUUUUUAUUUUAAUUCCAAGCUUGACUUUGAAACUGAAUUAGCAAGAAAAAUGGUCUCAAAAUGUUAAGAGCAAUGAAAUUGCGUUGAUGGGGUGGUGUGAGUAAUGGCAACCAUAUACUUGAUAACAGCUUCUUACAUUUACAAGUGCCUUGUGAUGGUGAAUUCUGAUUUUAAAGUAUGUUGUAGUUUGUGUUCUUGUUUGUGCUGGCCAUUUGAUCUAAAACUGGGAUUGCUACUUUUUUGGUUUCUGAAUUCUUAACCAAUUUGAGCAGGCUGUAAUGUCAUGCCUAUUCAAAAGUGAACAAAGGUAAGGUUGUGAUUUUAUUAUCAAUUUAAAAAAUGUGGUUUAGUAUUGUUUUGGCACUUUGGUGAAAUGAGUUUGUUUGUACCUAACUGCAAACCUUUUAAUUGUUUUCUCAUGAUUUAAUAGUUGACUGAGUAUCCAUUACAAACUUUAAUCAUUUUUUUUUUUUUUUGCAACAUGUGUUCAUGUGGCUGAAAUUCUGUGAUUAGUUUUCUUCCUUGAAACUUUUGGAAUCAGUUUAAUUCUAUCCGAAUAUGAAUUAUUUCUUUAUGCAACAUAGAUACCUUUUGGUUUGUUGGUGAGGCAUUAUUUACUAAAGGUGGUUUUAUAGGAACUGCUUAUGAAGAGAAUGAAGUAGCAAAUUUUUCAUACAAUUGUCAACCCUAAGGUUGUAGAAUGAAUCUAAGGAUAUUGGCAGCUUGUGACAUACUAACUUGUAGUAGUAGAGGGAAAGGCCUGUUAUCAUGGACAAAGAAUGUGUUCACUAGUCAAGGUUCUUUGCUCUCAAGUAUGAUGCAGGUGCAAGAUGGUUGUGAUUGUGCAGGUAGUGCUAGAUGGUUGUGAUUAUGCAUGGGCAAGAUGCAAGAUGUGUUGUGAUGCUACAUGGCAACCAAUUUUGAGGAAUGACAGUAGGAUAAUUUUAUUAUGUGACAUGCUUUUGUAUAAUUACUCUAGAUGUACGUUCCAAACCUAUCAAUCAAUAAAGUAUUAUUU